GCUGGGUAUAGUGGCACAUGCCUGUAGUCCCUACUACUGAGGAGGCUAUAGCUGGCAGACCUUUUGAGCUUACAAGUUUUUAGCUGCAGUGUGCUAAGUCAAUCAGGUGUCCACGCUAAGUUUGGUGCCAAUAUGGUGGGCCCCAGAGUUCAGGGGGGCCACCAGGCUGCCUAAAGAGGGGUGAACCAGCCCAGAUUGAAAACAAAGCAGGUCAAAAUUCUUGCGUCAAUUGCAGUAGGAUCGGGUCCAUGAGUGGCCACAGCACUUCCAACUUGGGCAAGGUAGGGAGACCCAGGCUU
ensembl:misc_RNA Metazoa_SRP Metazoan signal recognition particle RNA